CUGCACGGUGCACCCCGGGCUUCUCUGAAUUUUUCAAUGACGAAGAAAGCCCCAAUGCUCGUGCUAAAGUGCGCCGUUUAGUGUUGCAGGUUUGCUUUGAUCUUUCCAACAGCUUAUUUGUGUCAAAACAACGGCUAAAUUU
rnacentral:snoRNA from 1 species